GCCACGUAGCCCAACGGCAGAGGCACUCGGCUCAGAACCGGGACAGUGGGGGUUCAAGUCCCUCCGUGGCCA
rnacentral:tRNA from 1 species